CUCAACAAGGGCAGCAGAGUCAUUACAUGGGAAUAUAAAAUGAAUAUAAUGAGCGGUUGCUCCCUGCCUCCCUUUCCUGUUCCUCCCUCUCCAACAAAACCCGUAUAAGGCCCUUGUUUGACCCUCCCAUUCUAGCAUCGCGCUGUAUCAAUGUUUCUCAGCCUGGUCCUCAGAGACCCCCCACAUAGUCCUACCGGGAGCUGGGAGGAAACAAGGAUGUGUACCGUCUGGGGUCCCUGUGUGUGUGUUUAGAAGAAGCUGGUGAAGCGUUCUUCAUGCAAACAGGCUCCUGUGGACCUGCAGCUGUGGUGAAAAAAAAAUAGGUUUUCUCCUGGUCUGGUCCUUCACCAAAUGGGACUUGAGUAUGAGAGGGUGUUACUGUUGUGGCUUUCAUGAGAAUGCACCCCCGCCCUCUACCUGCCGGUGUGCUUUCCCUCACACUUCUUUUUGCAUGCUAUGCAAAGCAUUACUGGGUUGGUCACCUCGGGAGAAUCGGAGGUAUAGGAUGCUUGGAAAUAAAAAAAAAAAAAAAAAAUGGAGGGAGAAUAUAGAGAAGAAGGUAUGGUAAUCUUGUGUAAAAAAAACAAAAUGGAGAAGUGCGAGAAGUAUGGCCAUAUUAUGUUAAAGGAACAGAGGGAGUGUGCUGAGAGACGUAUGGUGAUCUUAUAUAAAAUAACUGUUGGAGGCCUGAUUUUGCUGGCUCUGAAAUCAGUGCAGGAUGUUUUAAUGUUUUUUCUAGGUGCAUAAUGAAAAGCCAUUUCAAAGUGGAAGUCUGGGCCAAGUGUCUGUGGUACGGAUGGAUUUAGAAGGUUAUAAUCCGAUGAAGUCGGCACAACGCGAAGCACCUGCUGUAUCGCUGUUACUGUAAUGGUUUAUUCAUGUUAAGGUCUAUUGAUUAACUUAAGUUACUUAAAGUCUUAGAUGGUUUUUGCAGUAUCAUUCCUCAUGCCAGGUGGUCUGUUUGUCCUCUAGGUUACCAUUCCUCAUGCCAGGUGGUCUGUGUGUCCUCUAGGUUACCAUUCCUCAUGCCAGGUAGUCUGUUUGUCCUCUAGGUUACCAUUCCUCAUGCCAGGUGGUCUGUGUGUCCUCUAGGUUACCAUUCCUCAUGCCAGGUGGUCUGUUUGUCCUCUAGGUUACCGUUCCUCAUGCCAGGUGGUCUGUGUGUCCUCUAGGUUACCGUUCCUCAUGCCAGGUGGUCUGUGUGUCCUCUAGGUUACCGUUCCUCAUGCCAGGUGGUCUGUUUGUCCUCUAGGUUACCGUUCCUCAUGCCAGGUGGUCUGUGUGUCCUCUAGGUUACCAUUCCUCAUGCCAGGUGGUCUGUGUGUCCUCUAGGUUACCGUUCCUCAUGCCAGGUGGUCUGUGUGUCCUCUAGGUUACCGUUCCUCAUGCCAGGUGGUCUGUUUGUCCUCUAGAUUACCGUUCCCCAUGCCAGGUGGUCUGUUUGUCCUCUAGGUUACCGUUCCUUAUGCCAGAUGGUCUGUAUGUCCUCUAGGUUACCGUUCCUCAUGCCAGGUGGUCUGUAUGUCCUCUAGGUUACUGUUCCUCAUGCCAGGUGGUCUGUUUGUCCUCUAGGUUACUGUUCCUCAUGCCAGGUGGUCUGUUUGUCCUCUAGAUUACCGUUCCUCAUGCCAGGUAGUCUGUAUGUCCUCUAGGUUACCGUUCUUCAUGCCAGGUGGUUUUCAUGUCCUCUAGGUUACUGUUCUUCAUGCCAGGUGGUCUGCAUGUCCUCUAGAUUACCAUUCCUCAUGCCUGGUGGUCUGUAUGUCCUCUAGGUUACCAUUCCUCAUGCCAGGUGGUCUGUUUGUCCUCUAGGUUACCGUUCCUCAUGCUAAGUGGUCUGUAUGUCCUCUAGGUUACCAUUCCUCAUGCCAGGUGGUCUGUGUGUCCUCUAGGUUACCAUUCCUCAUGCCAGGUGGUCUGUUUGUCCUCUAGGUUACCGUUCCUCAUGCCAGGUGGUCUGUGUGUCCUCUAGGUUACCGUUCCUCAUGCCAGGUGGUCUGUGUGUCCUCUAGGUUACCGUUCCUCAUGCCAGGUGGUCUGUUUGUCCUCUAGGUUACCGUUCCUCAUGCCAGGUGGUCUGUGUGUCCUCUAGGUUACCAUUCCUCAUGCCAGGUGGUCUGUGUGUCCUCUAGGUUACCGUUCCUCAUGCCAGGUGGUCUGUGUGUCCUCUAGGUUACCGUUCCUCAUGCCAGGUGGUCUGUUUGUCCUCUAGAUUACCGUUCCCCAUGCCAGGUGGUCUGUUUGUCCUCUAGGUUACCGUUCCUUAUGCCAGAUGGUCUGUAUGUCCUCUAGGUUACCGUUCCUCAUGCCAGGUGGUCUGUAUGUCCUCUAGGUUACUGUUCCUCAUGCCAGGUGGUCUGUUUGUCCUCUAGGUUACUGUUCCUCAUGCCAGGUGGUCUGUUUGUCCUCUAGAUUACCGUUCCUCAUGCCAGGUAGUCUGUAUGUCCUCUAGGUUACCGUUCUUCAUGCCAGGUGGUUUUCAUGUCCUCUAGGUUACUGUUCUUCAUGCCAGGUGGUCUGCAUGUC